AAAAAAAAAAAAAAAGGCUCAAGUGAAAUCUGCGAAAUUGUUUACCAGGCAUAGUUGUGUGCAUAUACUGUACUAGGUCUGGAUGUGUAAGGACCGGCCCGCGUGUUGAAGUAAGGUUAAACCAUCACCAUUUUAUACCUGGGUUUCUUGGCAUGUUGCACUAGAAUAAGAAGGUGUCUAAAGUGACAGAAACAUUGUGAUAGAAUUCCAGGAGGGGAAAACCAACAUUUGUUGCACCAAGAAUGAGCUAUUCCUUUAAGUUCUGAUCAUAGCUGGAGGCUCACAAAAGAAGUGGAUGGAGGUACGCUCUAAAGUAAGAGGAGUCUGAAUCAUAAGUGUCUAUGUAUUAGAAAGAAGUAGAUGCCAGUGGAAACUGUGCCAGUGAUGUAAUAAUGCAUUUGACACUAACAUCCUGUAUGUUUUAUACAUGUUGGCAGAAAACCACUGGAGGAGAAUCCUACUUAAUUCAUAGAUCCUUAAAAUAAUUAAAGUUUUUUGUUACAGUUGUCUUGAUGUUAUCUGCCUAUCCCUAAAAGGCAAAUAGAUAUCAGAAGUCGUUUAAAAUACCAGGAUGUGUUAUAUGGUCACCAUGGAUUUACCCCAAUUUCCUAUAACUGUUAUUUUACAUUGAAAAUAUGUAUUUAUAAUGAUCAGCUUGAAGGAUAGUGACAUCCUGAAUCACCUAAAAAUAAUUCAGCUGUGUUUCCUAGUUGUCAGCGGGGAAGAAAGCAUAAUAAUACUUUCUGGAGAAAAAAAACUCAGCAAGCAAAAAUUAAAACAAAAAUAUUUUAUUAGCCCUCAAUUAACCACAACUUUAAAUUACCCAUAAUACCUGUAUGCCUCGGGCAUUCUAUUAAGGUUUAUUCUGUAUAAAUUCAGCAUAUUUUAUUGUGAUCACAAUAAUGAUAGGCUGUUUACUUUGUCCCAUCCAAAGCCUUUAAAUAAUCUCUAUUCUUAAUACUUUUUCUCUUGUAGUUUUUUUCCCUCCACACUCAAGGAUUCAAUAAAUAACACCCAAAUUUAUAUAACUGAGCCUGACCUAAAGUUCAUUUCUGAUUUUCAGUUUCAAACCAGGCAUUUCUAAAUGUAUUCAAAGGGACUGGCCCCAUGGCGUAGUGGUUAACUUUAGUGUCCUCCACUUCAGCAGCCCAGGUUCUCGGCUUUGGAUCCCAGGUACGUACCUACACCACCUGUCAGCCAUGCUGUGGCAGCAACCCACAUAUAAAAUAGAGGAAGAUUGGCAACAGAUGUUAGCUCAGAGGCAAUCUUCCUCAGCAAAAAAACAAAAAAAAAAAGCUGUGGGACAAUUCAAGAUGGCUAAUAAAGGGGUAACUGGAGGCCCUCAAAGGAGAGAGAGUGUGGGAGAACUAUUUGAAGAAAUAAUGGCCAAAAACAUUCCAGAUUUGAGGAAGACUGUAAACUCAAAGAUCCAAGAAGCUCAACAAACCUCAAGGACAAGAAACAUGAAAAGUACACCAAGGGACAUCAUAAUCAGAUUUCUCAAAAUCAGUAAUAAAAAGAAAAUCUUAAAAGCAGCCAGAGAAAAAAGACAUGUUACAUACAGAGAAACAAAGAUGACCUCAGACUUCUGAUUGAAAACAAUGGAACAUGGGCCGGCCCCAUGGCCAAGUGGUUAAGUUCAUGCGCUCUGCUUCAGCAGCCCAGGGUUUGGAUCCUGGGCGAGGACAUGACACCGCUCAUUAGGCCAUGUUGAAGUGGCGUCCCACAUGCCACAACUAGAAGGACCCACAACUAAAAUAUACAACUAUGUACUGGGGGGGAUUUGGGGAAGAAAAAAAAAAAGCAGAAAGAAAAAGCUUGGCAACAGUUGUUAGCUCAGGUGCCAAUCUUUUAAAAAAAAGAAAACAAUAGAACAACUUAUUUAGAAGAAGUGAAAGAAAAAACUGUUGACCUAGAAUUCUAUAACAGCAAAAAGUAUGAAUUCAGACAAACAAAAGCUGAAAAAAUUCAUCACCAGCAGAUCUGCAUUACAAAAACAAAAAUAGAUUCAUACCUCAAAUUCAUCAGUCUCUAAACCUUAUCAGUUCCCUUCCCGUUUCUUCAAACUUGAAGCACUGUAUAAUGGCUUCAUGAAUGAUUUUAUUAAUUUCACUUUUUUCUCAACUUUCUUCCUAUAAACAACUACCAGAUUAAUUUUCUUAAAACAGUGCUUUGGAUCUUACAUUCUCUUGCCCAAAAACUUUCAAUGACUUGCAGUAUCCAUAUUAAGUUAUACACCAAGCAGUCCUCAGCCUGUUCUUACGUAUUGCAUAAAUCCUCCGUUCCGGUCAAACUGUUCUCCCUUCACCCUUAGCUCUUCCUCUUGCUUGAAAAGACAUUCCUCCUCUUUCUCCUUCGAAGCCUGUUCUUCAAGAACUAGUUUAAGCCCCAUCUUCACCAAGCCUUUCCCACGCCUUGGGUGAUAAAACCAUACUUGAAACCAAGGGUUCUCAAAUUCAGGUUCAUGGCUGACUUCAGGGAGUGUUGGAACUCCUUGUAAUUGUGUUCAAAAUUUUGUGUACAUGUUCACUAUAUCGUCCAAGUCUAUACCUUUCAUCAGAUAUUCAAAGAGGUGUGACUACCUUCCCCCAAAAUGGAAAAAUUACUUCUCCAAACUUCUGUGGCACUUCCCUGAGCUUUUAUUUGACAUGCAUAAUAUCCUAAAAGCAUUAUCUUCUUUUGGUAUUUUUCAGCAAAUGCUAAUUAUCUUGUAUUGAUAUUUACCUUUUAGUAUGUACAUGCUCCCUUUCAACCAGAUUGCAUGCAUACUCAAGGAUAUGAGGGACCUUAUUAGAAUUCUUUGUAUCCUCCAACAUUUAUUUGAAUACCCACAUGUGCCACUCUGUUCUAGCUUUUAGGAUGCAUCAGUAAACAAAAAUCCCUCACUUGCGGAGUUGAUAUUCUUGCAAGGAGAAGACAGGAUAAACAAUAAACACAAACAGUCAGUCCCUCCUGUCUCCUCUGGGACCCCAUGCUCCAGCAGCGAUUUACCCUGUCUCCUGGGCACGCUCCCACACCGCACAGCCUCUACUGCCUCCUUCCACGCAGCUGACAUGCUGAGCAAGGAAUGGUAGCAGCCAAGAAGAAACGGUGGUCGGUUCUGCCUGAGUUUGGCAGUGGGCUGGUGGUAUCGAGAGACUUGCUCUCUUUUUCCACUUAAAAAUAAAUACCUCUGCCUAUUGCCCAAUCCCUCCGGCCCCACCCUUAAAAGACUCACAGCUGUCUCCCACCUCCUCAUAUAAACACACUCAUGUGUGCUGUUUUAAUUGUCUAAGACUCUAUGUGGGUUCCAAACCAUGGUAAUAAGGGAAAAAAUCUAGGGAGAAAUGAGAGAAUCCGUUAUCACAAGGCUGUGAUGCUCUGUCACUCAUAGACACAGAGCCAGCUGGAUUAUUACUUAGAGUAUUCUUAGAACUGCACCCAAAUUAGGACAUCGCUUUUCGUAGCCAGGACUUGUGCCAGCUUUGUUUUUCAUUGUUCGGCUCCUCCAGUUAGAGGUUCAGUCACUGCCGGUCCAAGCAGCCCAGUAAGCCUCGUGGGUUUGACUCUUUAGAGAUUAGAGCAAGGGCAUUCCAACUUAAUAGCCUCAGGAACAGUUUCAGCUUUUUCUAUCUGAGAACCUGAAACAGGAAAGAGAGAAAAGGAAAUUGAAAAAAAGAGUUGGUAUGCUGUAUGUAAAGAAAAAAUUAAUGUGCUGCUUAUGCAUAAGGAAAAAUACUUCUCAUUACCUUCUGGAGAGCCUCAUCAACAUUAUUGGGCUGUUGAGAAGCAGCCAGUAAAGCUGAGUGAUUUCUAGCCCAAGGCUUCUGUCAAGUAGUGGUUGGAGGCCUGUGACAGGAAGUAAGAUGCAUUUGUUAAUUUAAAAGUCCAUUAUAAGAGUUACUGUCUGGGAAAGUAAAAAUACGGGUUGUAAUACUAAGAUCUAGUCUAGGACAGGGUCGGGAGGAUUCUCCGAAAGAUGAUCUUAAAAGGAGAAUGUUUCUGUUAUCAAUCCGGUCAGACUCUGAGUUUACUGAGGAGGAACCAUCCUUUUUACUCUUUAGAAUUAGAAGAAUCCUCAGUAUAUCAGGAAGCAUGUAGUGAACGCUCAACACGUACCGAAUUUCUCGUUCUCUCCUUUUCCGCCUUCCUCAUAUCUGUGUCGUUUUUUUCUUUUUCUCCCUGGUGUUCCCGUUUUUGCUCCCUUACCGUGCUCCAGUUCCUCACACCUGUCACCCCGUGCUUCCGUGCCUUUGCAUGAGCCGGAUUCUCUGUCCCCCGUGUUCAUCAGAGGGGAGAGAAUGCUGCCUUGUCCUCUAAUCCAAAACUGAAAGUCGCCUCUGCCUGGUAUGCCCCUUACUCUGCCUCUUCCUCCCUCAGGUUCCAUCAGAAAGGCUGCUUCCUCAGAGAGCCUUUCCCGGACACCCCACAUCUGAGUUAUGUCACCUCGUUAUUUUCUCAGUGUUGGUAUUUCCUUCAUAGCACUUGUCACAAUUUCUAAUAGCAUAUACGCACACGUAUUUAUGUUCACGUGACUAACAUCCGCCUCCCCCAGUGGACGGGAAGCUGUUUGAGAACAGGGACCCUGUCUUUAUUCAGCAUUUGUAUCUAGAUUGGGGCCUGACAUGCAGUAGGCGCGCAAAUAUAUUUGCCAAAUGAAUGACUCACCUCUUUUGAGAAACAUUCUCUCACUUUUAGCACUUUGUGUUAAUACUUAACUUUAUUAUGACAUUUAUUACAUUGCUGUCUCAUCUCACUAGAUUGUAGCUACACAUGACUGCAGUUCACAUGCUUGAAAACAUGCUCAUUCCUGCUUUUUCUCAUACCUCACCCCUGAGGUUAAACUCUGCUGUAGGUCACAUCGCUUGCGCUGUCACAUAGCUCUGCUUCUAGCUGUUUUCGGGGGGGAGUGGGGGUGAGGGCAGGGAGUGGUGUUCAGCCCCUUGUUUAUUUUAUAUAUUUGGCUUUCAGGUAAAUAUCUAUUAAGCGUACCCAUUGUCCAGUCACUGCCUUCGCCCCAGCUCGGUCCACUCCCCUCUCCCCAAGAAAACAAAAACCCUCCUGUCCUUGGAGAAUAAUCUUUCUUUAGGGUCACAUUUCGAUAUAGUAGGAUAGAAUACUGAAUUUCCUGGAGAGGUUUUAAGAGCAUAAGAAUUAUCAGCUGAAUAUUUAUUGUGGUUCUAGAUCUGUUUUUUGACUAAGAAAAGAUUAUAAACUUGGGCAUUGAACUAUUUAUUUUUCUUGUUACCAUGUCUUUCUCAUAUAGAAGAAUGCUUUAUAGGUAAUUGGUGCUCAGUAACUGUUUAGUGGAUUGAAUAUUUACCUAAAAAAGAGCAUCGGACUUAAAGUCAAAAGAUGUGACAUGAGUUCUACUCAUGAUCUCGUUGUUUAAUGUUCUGUUGCAAGUGCUAGCCGGUGCAGUAGGUAAAUGUUCAAAAUAAAUUACCAUUAUUUAUCUGUGACUAUAAGUUGGAAAAGCUAAGAGGAUCAACUGAAAAACUCUUAAGAAACAAUAAGAGAGUAUAAUAGGGUAGCAGGUUAUAAAAUUAAUAUUCAAGCAUCAGUAACUUUCUCAUGUCAACAUAGUAACUAAUCUAAAUAUAACAAAAGAAAAUAUCACAGUCACAAUAACCAAAUUAAAUAUUGGAAUAAACUCGUGGUUGCUAGUACCCAUCACACAGAGAAGUAGGGGCCCUUAAUUUCACUGACCACAGUGUAAAUGGUGCCCCUUGGGGUUGAGCUGCACAAUGUCUCUGAAUAUACUUAGAAAGUUUUCAGGGGCCGGCCCCGUGGCCGAGUGGUUAAGUUCAAGCGCUCCGCUGUAGGCGGCCCAGUGUUUCGUCAGUUUGAAUCCUGGGCGCAGACAGGGCACCACUCAUCGAGCCAUGCUGAGGCAGCGUCCCACAUGCCACAACUAGAAGGACCCACAACUAAGAAUAUACAACUAUGUACCGGGGGACCUUGGGGAAAAAAAGGAAAAAAAUAAAAUCUUUAAAAAAAACAAAAAAAAGAAAGUUUUCAGAAACUACUUCAAGAAUACUAUAAAACUCUAUGAAGAAACUAAAUAAAGUCAUUAAAACACCUUGUUCUUGGGUAAGAAGACUCAGCAUUGUAAAAAUACCAGUUCUUUCUGAAUCAAUGUGUAAACUGAAUGCAAUCCAAAUCAACAGAAUUUUCUUUAGAACUUGUCGAAAUUAUUCUAAAUUUCAUUUGGAAGAAUAUAUUUAAGAAUCACUAUGGAUGUGGCUGGCCUGGUGGCGCAGCAGUUAAGUUCACGCAUUCUGCUUCGGCAGCCUGGGGAUGGUCGGUUCAGAUCCUGGGUGUGGAGCUAUGCACCAUUUAUCAAGCCAUGCUGUGGCAGGCGUCCCACAUAUAAAGUAGAGGAAGAUGGGCACAGCUGUUAGCUCAGGGUCAGUCUUCCUCAGUAAAAAGGGGAGGAUUGGUGGCAGAUGUUACUCAGGGCUAAUCUUCCUCCUCAAAAAAAAAAAGCACCAUGGAAAAUUAUGAAAAGCAGAAUAAUGUAGGGGGAGGAUGUGCCUCCCAAAUAUUAAUAUGUAUUAUAAAACUUCUUUAAUUAAAACAUCAGUGGAAUACAGUAGAAUACAGAAUUAGACCCCAAUAAAAAUGAGCAAAUGAUAAAGAUGGCAGGGUUAAUUGAAUAAUAGGUAUUAGAACAACCAACUAGCCAUUUAUAAUAAUAAAUAUGAAGUCCUACUUCCUUCUGCAUUCCAAAAUAAACUCCAGAUGGAUCAAAGAUUUAAAUAUAAAAAUUAACUGUAAGAGUCCAAAAGGAAACAGCUUGAAUAAAUGUAUUUGUAACCUUGAAAUGGGGAAGGCUUUUCUAAACAUAGCCCAAAACAAAGAAGCCACAGGAUAUUUUUAUUCUAUAUCUUGCGUGGCACAAAAGACCAUUUAAAAAGACAACAGGGGGACAGCCCGGUGGCGCGGUGGUUAAGUUUGCACAUUCCACUUCGGUGGCCCAGGGAUUGGCGGUUCAGAUCCCAGUGGCGGACCUAUACAUUGCUUGUCAAGCCAUGCUGUGGCAGGCGUCCCACAUAAGUAGAGGAAGAUGGGCAUGGAUGUUAGCUCAGGGCCAGUCUUCUUCAGCAAAAAAAAAAGGAAGCUUGGCAGCAGAUGUUAGCUCAGGGCUAGUGUUCUUGGAAAAAGAAAGAAGAAAAAGAAAAAGACAACAAACUUGGAAAAAAUGUUUGUAACACAUAUGGUAAGGGGAUAACAUCUCUAAAAAUAAAAACACUUCUUUAAAUCAAUUAGAAAGGAAAAGAAACCCAGUAGAAAAAAAUAGACAACAUAAGCAAGCAAUUCACAAAAGCUACAUUCAUCAGACUUUUUGUUUGUAACUUCUGAGUUUCCUGUUAUGUCUAGAAAGAACUUCCCCACUCCAAGAUGCUCAGCUCUUCUAAUAAUGAAAGAAAUGCAAAUUAAAACAAAAUUUUUUUACUAUUGCAUUGGAAAAUAUCAAUUACCAAUAUAAAAUUGAUAAUAGUGUUGCCAUAGAUUUUUGUGUUGGCAAAAGUAUUAAGAAACAGGCGCUUUUCCCCCCAUUGGUAGGAGUGUAAAUUGCUAUUAUUUAGAGGGCAAUUUGUUAAUCACUGUCAAAAUAUUUAUUGUAGCUAUGUGAUUUGACUCAAUAACUCCAGUUCUAGGAGUUUACCCUCACAAAUGUACCAAGUUUAUUCACAUAAGGAUUUUCACUGAAGUGUUGUUCUUAAUAGUGAAAAACUGGAAGUUACGUACAUACCCAUCAGUAAGGAAUUAGAUAAAUAGAUUAAGGAAAUGCCAUAUGUUGCAGCUGUUUAAGAAAUAAAUACAUAAACCCAUAAGUACUAACAUGGAAAGAUGUCCAAAAUAUAUUAAGUGAAAAACAAUAAGUUGCAGGUGAGUAUGUGUAAUAUGAUCCCAUUUCUGAAAGGGUAAACUUAUAUUUACAUAGAGGGUUUUUUUAAGCCCUGAGUCUGAGAACUGACUUCAUUACUUACUUUUUCACUCAGAGAGUAACCUCUCUUAAUCUAUUUUCUUGUGC
ensembl:lncRNA